UUUCCCAUCAUACAGGGAUGUUUCAGGUCAUGGAAAACUCCAGGUUUCAACUUUCCCAUGCUCACCUACUUAUGAUGCUUGGAGGAACUUUUACUGACCAGCGAGUCUGGAUCUCUGCAGGGUUUAUCAGGCUCCAGGUACCAAACUUCAGAAGCGCAGCGGCUUUUUGUGAUUCAGCCUGACGGUGGGCAGCAGGGUUCAAAGUAAAGAGCUGACAACUUGUUCAGCUGAGAUGGAAACACCAGCAACCAACAUCACCUCCCAGACCAAACAGUGUCACCAAUUUGUCCCCGACGUCAUCCAUGAUCAGCGAGACAUUGUUGAGAAUGAGGGAAAUACGGAAAGCCACUGAUCUCAAGUUUUCUCAGCUGUUCUUCUCAUCCUGCACCAAAAGUAGAAAUAUCAAGGAACUGAUCUUCUCAACAGUACUGAAGCUGCACAGCCAGAGGAACUACAGUUUACAGCACCAACAGGACUUUACAAAGCAGCACACCAAAGGCAUUUUCUUUUCCCAUGGACUUACUAGAAUAACUGGACCUAGUUUAACUUACUUUGUAUAUCACAACUUCAAGCAAGUAUAUUGCUUGAGCUUUGUUGUUAUGUAUGUUUAUAGUCAAGUUACUGAUUAAUGUUUGCAUGUCCACACAUGACUUGCCAACAUCCCCCUUUAACCUGCCACCUUCUGACUUGGCCCUAAAGCAUCACUCCUUGGUUAAUGUCCCGCACAUGCCACGAAGUGUCUCCAAUUCGGCCAUUUUGGUUGUAAAACCUUUGUCAUAAACUGCAGCCAUCUUUGUUUUCCACAUGCACACCUCUACAAAGUGUUUGUGGGUUAGAUUAAAUUUUGUGUUUAUUUCAUUUUGGUAAUUGUUCAAAUAAAUACUU